UCAUAUGUGCGAUUGUGGUAAUGUUUGCACCAUUUUAAAUUGGCCGUUACAUAAAGUUUUAUAUAUGAAAAUGUACGCAAUUUCAUGUAGAAUACAACUAAAAAUAAUUGAAGGUUGCAGCUUUUCUCAUUUUUGAAAUAUUUGCAUAUAAAUCACGAUAAAUAGAAAAAAAACUACGUUCGGUCAACUUUAACUCUACCGAAAUGGUCGAAAAACGCAAUUGUAAGCUAAAACUCUCACAGUCUAGUAAUAUUCAGUCAUUUAUCUUCAUCUUGAAAUAAAUUCGAAGUCUCUAGCAAAAUAUUUAGAUUUAUGGUGAAUUUAAAAAAAAAUCUUUCCUUCCCUCCGCGCGGAUUCUCCGCCACAAAUCUCCGAAAUGCGUACGUCCCAUUCUCGGAAUAUUUGCUCCGUUUCAUAUUAGGCAUUUCAUAGAGUUUUAUAUAUGGUAAUGUGCGCAAUUUCAUGUAGGAUAAAACAAAAAAUAUUUGAAGGUUGUAGCUUUUCUUAUUUCCGAAAUAAUUGCAUAUAAAAAAUAUAUAUAUAUAAAAAAAUUUGACAUUCGGUCAACUUUAACUCUUCAGAUAUGGUCGAAAACUGCAAUUGUAAGAUAAUACUCUUACAGUAUAGUAAUAUUCAAUAAUUUGUCUUCAUUGUGAAAGAAAUUGGAAGUCUCUAGGACAAUAUUUAGAUUUAUGGUGAAUUUUUGAAAAAAAUAUUUGUUUACAUCCGCGCGUUAUGAAUUCAUGCUUUAUUUUGUGAUAAUAUUUUCCCUGUGUUGCUUUUAUCGUUUUACAAUGUGUUAUAUACCAAAAUGAUCGCAAUUUAGUGUACAUUACAACGAAAAAAAAGUAACUUGUUACCUUUAACCGUUUUGCGCACAGCGCGAUUUGAAUACAAUUAUAUAUGAAAUUUCGUUUUUGUGCUAUCAAUAUCGCAUUAUUUAUACAUGAUAAUGAUAAUUUUUUUCAUUUCUGAUGGUUGCAUACUAAACUUCAGCCAAUGACAAAAAAGGAGCCAAAAAUGAAUUCUUAAUCUUGAAAACUAAGCGCGCUGUGAUUUUUUGAAAAAAAUAUUUUUUCCGCUUCCGCGCUCACUCUGAAACACCUCCGGCACACGGGAGACAAUUUUUUUUUUUACUGCUUCGGCGUAAGAGGGUUAAAACACUCUCUCCAUGACAACAUCUAUUGGCUGGAAGGAGCCAAUCACACAGUACAGCACCAGCUAUCCUUGAUGUUGAUUGCCUUGAAAUAGGCAGUUACAUAUAAGCGUUUUCAAUAUACAGUUCCCGGUUAUCAGUAGACUCGGUUCAUGAUGAUCCAGUUUUAGCCAUAAAAUCAGCAAUUCUCAUUGCCAUAAUGCGCCGAUGUCCGGUUAUCAGUGCUAAUAAUAGAAGUAUGGCGCCAAUAAAAGUUAUGACUCCGCUACACAGUCGUUAAUCCAGACCCCAUUAAUCUGGAUAUCAGAUAAGAUGGACAUCAUAGAGGGUCAGACAAUUUGAUUAAGAUACAUACUUACGUCCGCUAUUUAAGGUAGUUACUGUUCCUCUGCUCGUUGUGUUCUGUUUUCCUUUUUACUUACCAAAGGUAAAUAAACUUUUCUUUUAUAAUUUUAUUUACAGUUUUGUAUUUAUACAGUACUAAACUAAAAUGCUUAUAACUUGUACCUGAUUUAACAUGUGCGUAGUACAUAAGGUCAUUACGACAUUAUUGUCUGAAUGGGUAGGAAGUACUGUAGCCAACAGUUUUACCUAUCUGCAGCCUGAUUGGUAGCUACAGUGCUAUGCUUUGUAUGAUAAGGGCAACAGUAGGUUUGCCUUUCAUAAAUUAUUUUUCCAGUUCAGGAAAAUCUCCACCUCACCCUUUAUGAAAACUAUAACAUGAAAGGUAGCUGCAUGUCAAAACAGUGGCUAUUUUUAAUAGGGAUUCGUAUUCUAAUUUGCUAGGGUUUGUACAAUGUUCCAGAAGAUAGGUUUCCUGCAGCCAUUAUGUAUGAAUGGUAGUCAGUCUUGGAUAAAUCUGUCUGUAUUACAUAUACAUUAGUAAAAUAUGAUGAAUUGGGAAUGGCAAGGGAUUUGCUUACAGGUAAUGCCACAUUGUAGAAAUGUCCUGGGUUUGCAUAGGCUGCUCAUUUGACCCAUGAGUACAAACCCAGAUGACCUUUUCCCAGAAUGGAAGAAAAAAAAUUGUAAUUCAAGAAGUUUCAACAGAUUCUAUUAUUUGCUAACAACAAAAUAAGUAUUAAAUCUUGAAAAUAAAUCCCCAUAUAGGGGUGGUGGUAUCAUUGCUGAUGUUACUGGUAUCCCUGUUAAAGGUAAAUGUGUUCUGGUGAGGUAUAGUUUUCAUCUGCUGCUGUGACUGUUAAUCCAACCAGUAGCUUGUUUCAACCUUCUCCACAGGUGUAGAGGAGACAGCAAAAUUGUAGUUGCCAGAAGGCUAGGAAAUUCUAUCAAGCUUUUUCCUCUAACGCAUUGUCGUUUUCCUUCCAAAUCAGCAUAGUGCCUGUCACUUGAGGGUGGCUGUGCCUUUGACAUCAGGAUCCAGACAAGGCCAAGGCUUCUCCAUAUCCUGAUUAGGAGUUCUACAGUUUUCCUUCUCUGCUAGAAAGGGAAGUAUCUUAUUAAACCUUUCCCCUUUGCCUUUCAAGCAACAACCAAAAAGUUAGGUAAAGGGAAGAAAGUUGGACAGUGAGGGUGGAAAUCCUUUCUGGGGCAGUUGGGCAACUUCCAUCACACUAUUGGACAACAUGGUAAUGAUAGAGUAGACUCAAUCUGAUGGAACAAAUACAUUUUAACUUUUCAAGGACUUCUACCUAGCUUAACUGUUCAGCUGAUAUGUAUUCCAUUGAUCUUGUUAACUGAGGUGAGGUCUGUGUAGAAAAACAUGCCCUGUUGAUGAAGGUAAUAGGAAGUUAUAAGAGAAAAGUCAUUGACUUCUCCCUACCGAAUGGGCAUGUGUUGCAGGUAUGGUACAGGUAGGAAACUCCACAGUUUGUGCUAGCUUCCAAUAACAUUGAGAGAGACCCACAUUAUUUCCAUACCUGAAGGAUAUAUACGUAUUUUGUUAUGAUCAACCUGUUUACCACUUCGUAGAAUGGGAAGCUCCAGUUCCAGAAUGAAGGGGUGAGAUUCAGUAGUACAGCUUUGAGCACUCCAUGUCCACCUAGAUCAGGGUUUCUCAAAUUCCAGUACAUGUACGUACCAUGUGAGAGGAAUUUUGGGGGUAUGCGACAGGUUUCUCUAAAUACUUUGGUUUCGAUAAUUGCAAACCUGUUUGUAGAAAAUAGAUACUAUUUUCCUGAUAUCACAGACUCAGAUUGCUAACUCAUCCGAAAUCUAUUGAAGAUGGACCCUAGAUCCCUUCCAUAUGAAUUACAAGAAGAAUUCAUUGACAUUGUCAAUGACUAAACUGUAAAGCUAUUCUUUCAAUAGUUUGUCAUUGACCAGAUUCUGGUCAACAAUGCCAACUUCUUAUUCUGCUUUAGCAAAGAAAUGUGUAUGGAACCUCCUGAUGUUUCCUUCUGCAUACUGCUGUGAGCAGGGAUUCUUACACUGUGCUUGAUUAGAAACUAAGUUAUGUUCACAUCUUUCAGUCAAUUACGACAUAAGAGUGGCACUUUCAAAGACUGUGCCAAGGAUUGACUUGUUUGUAGCAAAGACACAUUCCAACCAUCUCACUGAAUUAGUCUAUACUUGUAUUUUAAAUGCAGUUGCGCUCAUUGACUUCCCAUUGAGUCAGUAACUAGUUACUAAUAACUAGUGAUGCUUAACAAUCAGCGUUAGUUCGUAACAGUGGAACACAAUGCCCUCUUAAUACUAUUUUCUUAUUAUUUUUUUCAUAUUAGUGAUGCUAGUCACCCAGGCAGUAAUUUCCCCAUGAAUAACUAGUUAUAAGUUUUAUAUAGCACCAAUACCUCACAGUCACAGUUAUUAGAAAAAUGUGUCUGAUUUAAGUCUGGUUUAUUAUUUUUAUACGCUAUUCACACAUACAGUGACUUACCUUUUAUACUCUAUUCACACACAGUGGCUUACCUAUCACUGUUACUAUACUCUGUUUUUUUUCAUCUGUCCAUCUGCCUAUGGUGUUUGUGUAUGGUAACACUGCGUCCCAGUAAAUAAUUACGCUGUGUGUAAGUGUUAGGUUAAAUAAAAGGAUAUCUGGGUGUACAUUUGCAACUGAAAAGCGUUUUAAUAAUUUACUGUAUGCGAAUUACACCGUUAAUAUUCGAAAUAGGAUAUUAUUAUAAUUGUUGAAUGUGAGCUGAAUGUAACUAUCCAAAGCCCAGGACGCAGUGUUACCAUACAAAAACUCCACAGGCGGAUGGACAGAUGGAAAAAAACAGAGUAUAGUUACAAGAUGCAACUAGCUGUAAGCAGCACUAGUUCACUGCCACAGUGAUCGAAAACUGUCUGAUAUAGUUCUGUUUUAGUAAAUGUAUGGCAUGAUAGCAGCCACUUACUUAGUGUUUCCCUGUGAAGUACUUGUUCCUAUCAACACUACCUCAUGGUGUCAUACUCUCAUUAAUUGAAAAUUUUGUCUGGUCCACAUAUAUAACAAUUUAAACUUAAUAAACUAAGUAAAAAACCAUAAAUUUCUCUUUACCUUUCCCGAUACUGCAUUAUUGGUAAGGGGUACAUGACCAAUACUGAAAGACUCCAAGGGGUACAUAAGAUUGGAAAGGUUGAGAACUGCUGACCUAGCCAUUUAUGCUUUUCUACAGUUUACCUGAUCCUGCAGAUGAUCAAUUGCAUUUUGCCCACUUCUGUUCUAGAUGAUAGUUGUAUUUGGAAGGAUUUCUCUUUGAUUUGAGCCACUUCAGCAGAUCACAGACUACUUUAUGUAACUUUGCCAAAAUAAAUUACCUUAAUCUCUAUGGUAAAGGGAUACUGUGCAGUCCUUUUCAGGGUUUUAGGAAGGAGGGCAUGGUAGUCUUAUCCUCUUGGGAGCAUACUGAUCACUUCAGUCACUAUGAUAGAGGUUGGAAGGAUUUCUCUCUGAUCUUAGCCACCACAGCAAACCAUUUCUCUUCGCAACAAUAAACUCUACCCAGUCUCUAUGGUAAAGGGAUACUCUACAGUCCUUUCCAAUGUCUUUAUGUUGGAGGUCCUAUCAAUCUCAUCCUCUUAGGAGCUCUCCAAAUACUAUGAGGAACAUCAAGCACUCCCACCUACCUUGCAAAGUCAUGCACCCAGAGUAAGAUGUCUAAUACGAAGUCUUAUCUUCAACACUGUUUGGCCCCCUGAGGGAAGUUACCAAGAACAGAAUUGCAGCUGAAGACCUUGCUAACUCUACCAUCAGCAAAUAGGAUAGGCGAGCUUUAAUUCUCAUUUCACCAAGUUCCCGGCAGAAACUCAGAACCUAUCACUACUUGACCCAUGGUUUGAAUGCUUUACCAUUCCUCUGAAACUUUGUCGAAGAAAAUCAAGGUGAGAUGCUGUAUGUAUUGUGUAACUCCAGGAUGACACUGCAAUUUAGCCCAGGAUGCCAGUGCCUCUGUAUCUACUGGCAAGCAAAACGAGGUUUCCUAGAACACUGUUCCCUUCUGGCAUAAUAAAAUGAUGAAACAAACUUACCAGUUGUCCAGUGAGGAGGUCACUGUGUUUUUUCACUUGAGAGGCUAUGGAGUUAAAGGGGUUACUUGAUCUCUCGUAUCUAGGAAGGAAUUUCUUUGUUGCCUAAGUGUCAGAAGCAGUUACUGGCAAUAUAAGACCACAUUUUCUUCUUCCUGUGUGAGGGAUGUCAUCCACAAGUCCUUGGAUUUGCCCUGGAAUUAGUCUUUUCAGUGAUAAGUUCCAGGCUGUAUAGGAGGUUACAUGAUAAAUCCUUCUCCUGCUCACUUAAGUGACUGGGAAGCUGAUAUUUUCUUGGUGAUAACUGCUUUUUCUUGCAAAUUACACAUUCUUCUGUCACUGCAAGCACACAUCAUCCCUGCAUUUGGACAAUUCCUCCCUCCUGGCUAUUAUCUUCCCCCUCUAACCAACCUCACAAUUGUUCCCAUCGGCAAAGGAGAAAGGAAUGGAUCAGUCAGGUUAGCAAAGGGUUGAGAAGUCCACUGCUACCUGUUAGUUAGUAGUCUGAAUGACCUUUACUCUUAUAUAAGAAUGCUAUUAUAUCUACAAAAAUAAUUUAUUUUACAGAAAAAUUCAAGCACUUCAACUAAUUAUAUUUGUUGAAACAUGCUAGGUCCAUGCCUGAGAUUAAAGAAAAUGUUUUGAUGAGGUAGCUACAGCUGUUCCUAUAUCACUGAAACCCAUAAUCCUUAAUAAAUGGUCAAUUUUAUGGAAUGUUGAACCAGUUGAAAAUAUACUGACCCCACUGUAAGGUUAUGAUAUUCUUUUCGAAAAUCGCGCCACACCAGUUAUUUUAGCCAGUUUUUCAAAUACUAUAUCACACCAAUCUGACUUGUAGAUAGUUCAUGAAUACCAUAUGACCAAUAUACCUUAAGUAACUUGACAUGAAAAGUAAAAUAUUAAAGCCUCCAUGCUUCUACAAAGCAUAUCUGGCAUUGCAAUAACUGUUUUGAACAAUAUAGUACGGGAAUGAAACAUGAAACCCAACAAUGGCUUUAGUAGUCACAAACCUGCCCAGGAGGUUUUAUCUGAUAAAUUAGCAAAGGGGGUUAGGUUCUAUGGCAGACUUUUUGCUAGCUUCUUUUUCUCUAACUUCCUGGGUUAUUGGUUAUGUGGUCUUUAAUGGUAUGGUAAAGCGAGUCUUGGUUUUCACAUGAGUAGUGUUCUUCAUUAACAAUCAGUUGAUGUGGGGAGACAAGAUCGUGAUCAGAGAUAUAUAUGUGACAGAUUAUAUAUAUUUUUAUACCAUACAAUAAUUAUAAAAAUGCAAAGCACAGUAUUCUUCAAGGACUUCAGUCAGUUGUCUGGUAAACUACAUUUCUUUAUAUGUAUUAACUAAUUCACUUUGUUACAGGUACAACAUUAUCUAAUUCUUCUUUUCUGGUAGUAUGUAUAUACAUAAUGGAAUAAUUUGGUUAGAAGUAUGAAUGUGACUUGACCAGAAAAUCUUGCAUCAAGAAGUAUUUAUGUCUUGAUUUUACUUUACUUUUAGCCAGGUUUUCUGUCUUUUUUUUUUUCCUUUUUUUAAGAUAAAUUGUACCUUCUUUGGAUUUAAGUUUUAUCCUUCUCAGUAAUGUAAACCAGCUUUACAUUUUUCAUCUGAUUAUACUAAUAUUUGCACUAUUAUAUAUUAAUUUAUUUAAAAAUUUUAGGAUUUAAUGUUGUAAAAGAUAGCUCAAUGAUAUAAACUACAUACAAUACUGGUCAUAAUAAAAUAUUCUAAUUAACCUCAACCGUGGCAUAACUUGUACAAUCCAAUGUUUAUAAAGAUUUUUAUAUAGUCUUACAGAGUACAUAGUACUCUAUUAUUGUGUACAGCAUUUUAUAGAGCAUUAUAAAUGGAGUUACAUAAAAUUUCAAACUUAUUUUUCCAUGGCAGUCUGACAAAACUCCUGUACAGACAAUUUAUUUAGGUGACAUGUAGUACUGAUCCAUUUACACUUUAUUCAGUGAGGGUUUUGGUUAUGCAAGUAGAUAACACAAUACAUAUGUGAUAUGAAAGUUUCAAAAUGCAGUAUUGUCAUCAUUUAUAUUUCUGAUUCUAAAAGGGGUAUCUGAUUGAUGUACAUAUUUUUGUAAAGUGGUUAAGUAUGUCCUUGUGAUUAUGAUUUUGUUGGUCUGAUUGAAUUGAUUAAUUCUUUUUUUAACAUUAUAUAUAAAUUAUAAUAACAUAUUGCUUUUUCAUAUCCUGUAAUUUUAUUUUUAAGUCUUUUCAGUAAAUGAAAUAAGGGUUUGUGAUUGUUGAGUAAAAUUUUAAUAGUAUUUUUAUUUUCAGGAGCAGAAACUGUUAUUAAUUGUCAGUUUGUAAUCUUUCUAUUUCCUAUUUCAUACUUAGGAAAUGUUAUACAGAAAAAUGUGAUAAUUUCAUUUAUUACUUACCAUCAAACAGGCAUUCUUCUCAUGUGGAAUUGAAAAUUGAAUUACUCUACAUAGACUGUGUAUGUAACUUGUGACUGGGAUAAUAUUUUUUGAAGUACAACUACAUUAGCAUGUAAUGAUUUUUUUUAAAUGUUUACAGCACUGUGAAUUUGGUUGAAAAAAGGAAAAUUACUGGUAGUAGAAACUACAUAGGGAAAAAUUUGGUGCAGCAGUUGAUGCUCUCUAAUCAUCAUUUCAAAUUUUCAAUAUUAAAAAUAUAGUCAGCAUUGCUUCACAGUUUGCAUAAUAAAAAAAAAUCUUAAACAAGUUGUCAUUUUUAUCCAGCACUACUAUAUGUAUAUGAUAAUUUAUGACCAACCAAUUUCCAAAAUGUUGACCAUCCAUUUAAGGUAUGUAAUAUUGUUAUUAACUACGUAAAUGAAUAAUUAUUUUUAGUGUUUACAAGUACUAUAGGUAUUUGUUAUUCAACUUAAUGUGCGGUGAACUAGAUGUAUCCAAGUUUACCCAAGCGUGCUAAUUUAUCAAAAUCGGUAUUCUAGUUUUACUUCCAAAGUUAUUGGUGCUAUGCAUUUUAUUCAGCAACACGGGUAAUUAAUUAUAAGUGAAUCGCUGUAUUUUUAUUAAUAAAGUCAUACUAUUUCAAUUUUGCAGUGGAUAAACAGACUUCUAAGUUGAUAUCCAUAUUGUACAUAGAUAAACAGACAUCUUAGUUAAUAACCAUAUUGUACAGACUUCGCUUUAAGUGUACCUCACAGAAAAUAAUAAAUAUAUCUAUUUUUGUACAGCAACAUUUUACAAAUAAACAGUAGAAAUAUA